UUAUAUAAUGAUGCAAAGUAUGUGAUUUGACAUUACUACAUAAUUUGCAAGACAUUCCUUCAUAACGUUCAUCAUACUCCCAAAUAUAUUUAUAUCCAAAACGUAACCUCAUCAUGAAAGAGUCAUAUCGAGGUGAAUCUCUGCCAUAAGUAAAAUGAGUAUUAUUCAUGAUAACAUCGUCAUGUUUCAUGCUCCUAUUGCCAUUAUUAUUAUUCAUGAUCAUACGAGCACCGUCAAACUCCCACUGCCUCCUCUCUCUUCUUAUUUCAGAUUUUAUUCUAGCAAUGCUUAAUAUACAAUUAUUUUCUAUGAUUUCCUCGUCACAUCCAUUCUUAGCUAAACGUUUGGUCAACAACUUCAUGAAAGUAAAUACUGCAAUGAGACGGAAUCCACAUGAAACUUACCUCACACUCAAAUGAGUUUAUUUUGUGUAUAUAUUUUCUACAGCUUCAAAGUAAAUCAUCAGUAGUUAUUUUACUGUUUAGGGCAAAUAAAGCACGUUGACUGUCAACAAAACCGUGUACACUUUUCUUCUUUUCUAGUGCAUAUUCAAGUCCAGCAAAAAUAGCAUAAAGUUCUGCUGUCAUGCAUGGACUCCUAUAAGCAAUCCUUUUGGACAAUAUUUUCUCAACACUUAUGCCAUAUUCAAAACGUCCUCUUAUAACUACACCAGAACCUGCUCUAUUUUCAUUAACAGAUCCUUCACUGUAAAAGUGUAUGACAUUGGCCUUCGGAUAUCUAGAUAGUUUUUCAAUAAAUAGCUGUUGUCAUUCUUGAGGAUGACAAUCUUUUUUCCUAACGUCUAAUUUAUCUAUUUGUACAGAUAAUGUUUUCUUAAGUCAUGGCUCCAUAUCAAUAUUUCGUGGUAAAGGUACACAAAAACCUAUUACAUUGUACUGAAACAACAUUUGACAAGCUCUUCUUGGUAUAAGUAUUCAUCUUAAAGUUUCUAGCAAAACCAGAUCUGAAUUGAUCUACAGCAGACUUUAGACUAUUGUCACCACUUCUAAUGAUUCUCUAGGUAGAGAUCACUGUUAAUUCUUGAAUUCUAUGCAUAACGCUCUGAAUAUUCAGCUCCAUUCUCAUGAUUUCUAUUCAUGUUGUCCUCGCGCAACCAAGUGAAAUCCUCAUUCCUUCAUUUUGCACAACCUCUAAUGGCCUAAAAUCCUUCUCUGAAUAAGACGACAAUAAAACUCCUUACGGUGUUUAGAUGUACUGACCUUAGUACAGGCGCACCAACACCAUUUCCUCUAUUAGAUAACACUGUCAGAGGUUUUAGCCUAGACACGCAUAUAUUCUUGACAUAAGCAAUUUGAUCCUUAACAUCACUAAAACUUAUAUGCAUUCCGAGAUAUUUAUAACUAGUUACCUUUUCCAAUCUUAUUCCAUUCAACGAGAAUUCUUUUCCAUUAAUAGUUCUUGAUUGUUAUUUGGUUUUAUCUUCAUUAAUAACCAACCCUAAACGAACACACAAACACUGAAGUUCGUCAGAAACCUUGGUCAAACAGCUUUCACCUGCGCAUUGAAUUAGGAUAUCGUCAGCAUAGACGAGAACCUGAGAAUUUCCAAAAAUAAUUAGAGGAAGCUACAUUGUCCUAAAGAAUAUUAAAAAGCAUAGGGCUCAAUACUCCACCUUGCAGCGUACCAAGUUCAAACUCUUUUUGCUCAGAUUCCUCUCCCUGAAACCAUACACUUGCCUUUCUAUGACUUAAAUAAUCUGCAUCCAGAUUAAUAGCUUCCCUUCCACAGCUUUAUGCACCAAGCUCUCUAAAAUCACAUCUUUAUUUACCUUAUCAAAGGCCCUUUUAAUCGACAUCUAACAUUAUUAUUCACAAGAUACUUUAUCACACAAUCUGUUGUGCUUCUACCCUUCACAAAUCCAUAUAGGUUAUUGGACAGAAGACCAUCUAUUUUAUACAUCAAUCUGUUUAAGAUCAUUCGUUCCAUCAUCUCUGAUAAGCAAGAAGUUAAAGAUAUGGGCACAGGAAUGAUCAACGCCACUUUCCACUCCACUGGCAAUCUCCCAUUUCUAUACGAUAGAUUAAUCAAAUCUAGUUUAGGACUAUCAUCCAUGCUUAUGAAACAGUUGAGAACUUCGUAUGUUAGGCCACUCUACCCGGCGCAGUGGAUUUCCUCCUUUUUACAGCAUUCUGAAUUUCAUCCUGAGUAAAUAUAACGCAAGUAUCAUCCUUCAAAGCACUUUGCAAGCGAAUCAACUCCCGUCUCCUAGACUUUAAGUUUCGCAAACAACUCUGGACAUUAUUCGGAAGACAUGAAAGACUAGAGGCAUACGACCACUUGUUAAUAAGAUCAUUAGCUUUAUCUUUAGGAUUUGGAUGAAUAUUAAGUCUUUUUUUUAACUCCCCUAACUUUAUUCACACCAUUCCAGACCUGGCUCAAGCUUUUUGAACUACUAAUUUUCCUCAAAAAAAUUGUCCCAGUAUUGACUUCUGGCCUUUUCAUUUAUAUCUGUUGUACACUUAGCAACUUCAAUCAAAGUUUCUUUGUUUCUUUCAUUAGUAGGGUCCUUACUCCAGUUACUGUGGCAUUUUCUUAACAUCUUGUUCCACCCCUUAACCACUUUAUCAUUAUAAUACCUUUUAGAUUUUGCAUUAAAACUAUUUAAAUUUCUCGGCUUAGGUCUACCCAAGAUAGAAUCCACCACUUUUAGUAGAUCCUCGUAAAAUACAUUUUCAUCUGUUACAUCAAGUGUUUUAUACUCCUUAAACUAAGUUCCAAUUUGAGUAACAAAAUAACUACGCUGACCAUCUUUAAGUGAAUAUCUUUUCUUAUUAUUGACAAAACUCAUUUUGUUAAUAUGCAUCUUAACUUCAAUAUCGAAAUGAUCACUCAAAAGUGUGCUUACAACAUCCACACUUGCUUGUAGAUCCAGCAUGUUGAAAAUAAUUGCAAAAUCUAGCCUACCGCCCUUAAUAUGAGUAGGGUCACCUCCUACAGAGCUAUGACAUUUAUAUCGUUAGAAUAAAUAUACGCAUGCAGAUCAGUUACCCUAUUUUUUAUACUGUUAAUGUUCCAAGAUAAAACCUUAACAUUUUUACUCUUCAUUACUCAGGCAUUUAUCCUUCAACAGACUGCAACAACUUCAAUUUAAAUCAUCCAAAUGAUUAUUAACAUAAGCUAGAACCAAAUCUGCCAUAUUCAGAAAUUCAUUUAACAACCCAUUUUUAUCCUUACCACCUCACAGGGAUGUGUCUUUCGGUACAGUAUUUGCAUUGCUAUCGCCGGAGACAUUCUCAUCUUCUGCCUUACUUUUCCAAGUAACAAAUGAUGUUUGUAAAUCCUCCAUUUGCUUCUUAAGUUCGUUCAACUCUCGUUUCAUCAGGUCAAAUUCCGAACAAUCUCGCUGAGUUUCAACUUUUUGUUCACUUUCAUUAAUUCCAUUUCUUGACCGCUGAGCCACCUGCUUACGCCUUUCUUCCCAGACACUGAUUGGAGUCGAUAGCUCAUCAACAGCUGGACAAUAAUUGUUCUGCCCGACAUUUGGACUAUCACGGUUGUCUACUGCCUUUGUUUGUGGUUUCUCUUCACACAGAUGAUGAUUAGCAUUAUGUUUUCCGCCACAGUUACAGUACUUUGGCUCAACAUUUUCAUUUCCAUUGAUCUUGGCAAUUAAUGCAUUCUUUCGAAUCAUGAUUCUUCCCACAGUACCUGCAUCGGAAAUGACCAGGACACUUAUACUGCCUAUGACCCCAUUUACUGCCCUUAUAGCAUAUCACUGGCGUCCCAUUACAAACACUCUCAUGUCCAUAGCCAAUUCCAGAAAAGAAAGACUUCUUUGUCUGGUAGUAAUCCCUUAACCAAGGCAAUCAGCUGAGGUCUCUUAUAAAUAGUUCCUUUUACCUUCACCUGACGGCGCUUUACCCACACCAAAAUUUUCCUCAAAUGAGAAGUCAUCUGGAUCUAAAUACAUGGGGACAUCAGAUACAAUUAUUACCUUGGUACUUUAAAUCCUGUCAUCUCAUUCCACCAUUUUAAUCUCGUUCAAGUCUGUAGUUGUUACAAACUUUACUGCCUCAUCAUUCUUUACUGUGACAUACGGUUUGUUCUUACCUUCCUUGAACAAGGCUUCCAUCUCCCUGUGUUGCUUACACCACUUAACUGUCCAUUGGAUCUUCUCAUCAUAAUCCAUUUCCACAUCAUUAGGAAAGUACACCCUCUUCCUUUCAUAUUGCGUGUCAUGAUCUUGUCUGAAAUUGUCUCUACUAUCUCUGGUGCACUCGUACAUGUAGCUUAUCCGCUUUUUAUCAGUAGGUAAAACCGAAGCAUUAAUCACACCAUUGUCAUUGUUAAAACCACUUUUUUUUUUUUCAGUCUCCCCACUUCCUGGAAUGGCUGUCCAUCCAAAUAACUGUCAAAGGUCAAAACAAGAUCAUCUUCAAUUAAACAACCAUCAGACCUUACCAUAUCUUUUUGAUGAGCAGCACCUUCUAUCCCCAAAUUCGAGGAAGGGGGACCGGUACCAUACAUGGUGCAUAAAGCAGGUCCUGUAGCAGUGAGACGUGUCCGCAGCAGACUCGUUUCAGCUCCCUUUGUUCCUCAUCGCUGGGUGGAGCCCUCAUCAGACCUCAAACUACAUGCACAAGCCAACUAAGAUUUCCAACUGCCGACUCCGUCCACCCCUGUCUCCUUACCAGCGCUUAAUUACCUUAGAAGAUAUCAUCAAUUGGAAACCAGCUUUGCAGAUCGUGAAUUCAGCCAUUCUCUCAUAUUACUGGAAAUAAUAGAGUAAAUUAAAAGUCUACACUGUGCCUUUUUCCACGUGGCCUAUCUGCCGUUCAGUUGUCUCGGGCUGUUCAAUGUUUUUCUCGUAAAUAAACUAAAUCUAGAUCUAGCUGGCUGAAGUUUUCAAUGGCGACCUUAAAGCAUUUAACAGUUAUAUAAGGUAAGUCAGAAGAGCUCCAUUUUUCCUCCUUAUCCGUACUUGUGCGCGUUGUGCUGGACUUUUUCAGCAAGGCAUAAAAUUUUCAAUGCCAAACCUCCCAGCCAAGACG